AUCGUUUCUUGGCGUUUUGGCUAAGACCAAGUGUAGAUCUGUUCUUAUCAGUUUAAUAAGGUAAUACGGUUUUGGCUAAGACCAAGUGUAGAUCUGUUCUUAUCAGUUUAAUAAGGUAAUACGAUACAGUACUAACCUAACCUAU
rnacentral:snRNA from 1 species